GAUGAAUCAAAUUACUGUUAUGAAAAUGCAACGAGUUCUCAAUCAGGAAAACAUUACUCAACGAUCAAGCUGAAGUUGUGCGUUUGCUGAAAAAUUCGUUGCUUUAUCUUUUGGAUAUAUACAUUUUCCAGGUUUCAACAGCUAAAUCAGAGCAUCAGCGCCCCUUGAGCAGUUAAUUGAAGCCACCUCAGAAUGGAUCGACUGACAGCUAAAUGGAUUAUGAUCGUAGCUGUAGCCUUUAUCUCGCUGGGAGCCAUUGGCCUCUAUGCAUAUUCCCUAUCUCCCUUGAGCAAAUCGUCUGAUGGAGGAUAUAAUUUUGACAACACAUAUGACGCCUUGGGGAUAGGCGCGACCUUGUUUGCACUAGGAAGUCUUAUUCUGAUUGGCCAGUUCAUUUAUCUUUGCUGUUGUGGGUCAUCUCGAAUCCGUAAUAGUGAAGAAACAAAACCAAUACGCCCAUGACCAUAAUGGCUGCGCAUAAUCGGAGCUUUUUAUAACCAAGACUAGGACAAAAACCUCAUACUACACUGCUUGCUUAUGCAUAAACUUUCUUUAUAGAUUUUUUUUAAAACGUAGAGUUUACUAAAAAAGCGUUUUUAGAAAUAAUGAUCAGUUAUGAGUCUGAACACUGAUUUUGAGCCAAAACGACCACAAGAGAUUUACUCAGAAAUAAAAACUAUAUUGCUAA